rnacentral:misc_RNA from 1 species
CAGUGUUCUGGAGGCCGGUCCGCCCCGUCCCUCACCGGGCGGGGUGGCCUGCGCCCCCUCCACACGUGUCUACCACACUCUGUUGCCUUGGUGGGCCUGCCCCCGUGGCUGCCGGGGAACGCCGCCGCGCGUCCCGGGCCCGUGCCCACCGAUGGAAAACCCUGAACCCUCUGUGAAUCUAGUGUGUCUGAGCGAUAGAGCAAAUGAAAC